CUUUCUGAAAUGAGAGGAAAUGAAGGAUGGGACUUUGGGCUCCAAGGCCAUGACCCUUGUAGUCCCAAAGCAAGGCUCCUUGGGAUAUGUAGGCGCCUCCGGACUCAGGGACACCGGGGGGUCUCCCUCAUCGGGAAGGAUGGCAUGUGUGUGUGUGAAAGGAAAAAGAGCAAAAAGAGGAAAAAUUGACAAGAGGAAUUGGGUGUGAGGAGAGAAGAGGAAGGAAAUGUGAGUGUGAGAGAGAGAGAGAGAGAGAGAGGGGAGAGAAAGAGUGUGUAGAAGUGUGUGUGAGAAUGACAAAAAGAGAGAGCGGAAGGAGAGAAAUUGUGUGUUAGCGAGAAAAAGAGCAAGUGUGUGUGCAAGAGUGUGUGUGAGGGACAGCUCGUCCUUCAGGCUCACCUCGGCCCCCCGGGGUCUUUCUUCUCGGCGGCAGCGUUUUACUGGCCCCGGCUGACGGCCAUGAAAUGGCAAGAAAUUUACUGCUGUGGAGCUUAUGGAUCUGAAGGCAGAACUACAGCAAAGAUGGUGGGUGCAUCUGGUGUCACUUCAGUCUUUGUAUGCUGCUAUCAAGCAAUGAAAAACAUCAUGGACCAAACAGAUUGGCUGCAGUCACCCAUUGCCACGGCCUCAGGCUGGACACUGAUUCAAGGUUGACAGCUCAUCAAGUUGAGUGACAAGCGUUGGGGCGGGAACUCGACCAAAUGAGGGAGAGGAAGGAAGGUAGGCCCAGUAAAAACACCUCACUGGCUCCAGGCAAAUAGCAGCAUAUUGUAGCUUGAAAUCGCCUUCGCCUCCUUCUAUUAGGUCAUGAAUCUUGCUGAGCACCUGAAGAACUGUCAUCUUUUAAUUCA